rnacentral:rRNA from 1 species
CACCGCGGUUAUACGAGAGGCCCAAGUUGAUUAACCCCGGCGUAAAGAGUGGUUAAGAUGUAUUAUUAACUAAAGCCGAAUGCCCUCAAAGCUGUUAUACGCACCCGAAGGUAAGAAGCUCAAUCACGAAAGUGGCUUUACACCACCUGAACCCACGAAAGCUAUGACA